rnacentral:snoRNA from 1 species
GGUAACCCAGACCCAGAAAGACAAUUGUUAUCAUAUGUACUCACUCGAGUCUGCGCCUGCAUAUUCCUACGGCUUCUCAGAGUCCUCUGGACCGUGACUGGGGAGACAAACCAUACAGAAAACAGUC